rnacentral:rRNA from 1 species
GCAGUAGCCGCGGUAAUACGUAGGGUGCAAGCGUUAAUCGGAAUUACUGGGCGUAAAGCGUGCGCAGGCGGUUAUAUAAGACAGAUGUGAAAUCCCCGGGCUCAACCUGGGAACUGCAUUUGUGACUGUAUAGCUAGAGUACGGCAGAGGGGGAUGGAAUUCCGCGUGUAGCAGUGAAAUGCGUAGAUAUGCGGAGGAACACCGAUGGCGAAGGCAAUCCCCUGGGCCUGUACUGACGCUCAUGCACGAAAGCGUGGGGAGCAAACAGGAUUAGAUACCCCCGUAGUCCCUGUCUCUUAUAC